rnacentral:rRNA from 1 species
UAGGGAAUCUUCCACAAUGGACGCAAGUCUGAUGGAGCAACGCCGCGUGAGUGAAGAAGGUUUUCGGACCGUAAAGCUCUGUUGUUGGUGAAGAAGGAUAGAGGUAGUAACUGGCCUUUAUUUGACGGUAAUCAACCAGAAAGUCACGGCUAACUACGUGCCAGCAGCCGCGGUAAUACGUAGGUGGCAAGCGUUGUCCGAUUUAUUGGGCGUAAAGCGAGCGCAGGCGGAAGAAUAAGUCUGAUGUGAAAGCCCUCGGCUUAACCGAGGAAUUGCAUCGGAAACUGUUUUCUUGAGUGCAGAAGAGGAGAGUAGAACUCCAUGUGUAGCGGUGGAAUGCGUAGAUAUAUGGAAGAACACCAGUGGCGAAGGCGGCUCUCUGGUCUGCAACUGACGCUGAGGCUCGAAAGCAUGGGUAGCGAACAGGAUUAGAUACCCUGGUAGUCCAUGCCGUAAACGAUGAGUGCUAAGUGUUGGGAGGUUUCCGCCUCUCAGUGCUGCAGCUAACGCAUUAAGCACUCCGCCUGGGGGAGUACGACCGCAAGGUUGAAAC